AACCAGCACCUCAAGUGGUCAGGAGGAUUAUUGGGCCUAAAGCAUCCGUAGCCGGCUCUGUAAGUUUUCGGUUAAAUCCAUGUGCUCAACGCAUGGGCUGCCGAAAAUACUGCAUAGCUAGGGAGUGGGAGAGGUAGACGGUACUCAGUAGGAAGGGGUAAAAUCCUUUGAUCUAUUGAUGACCACCUGUGGCGAAGGCGGCCACCUGGACUGAUACUGACACUGAGGUGCGAAAGCGUGGGGAGCAAACAGG
rnacentral:rRNA from 1 species